UGUGCGGUCCGCGUGGUUCGCGCAUCAGUUGACAUUUGACUUCGAAACGAUACGGGUCGGGAUCGCGGAUGAUCGUGCAUUUCUAGGCGAGUUGUGUUGUGAAAGUGUGCAGUGCAUUUCAAGCUUUUCUUUAGUGAUUUUCCCGGCACAUAUUAUUUUCUCCUCUUUGAAGCAGAACGGCGGGGAACGGAGAAUUUAAUUUUGGAUUUGAAAAGCAUUUCGUGAUGCAACGGCUGAUGAUGUCUAGUGCCAGUUGGUGUUUUGGGAUGGCAUGUUGGUUCUUGCUGCUGACAAACCUGAUGUAUCGGUCGCAAGUUGCAUGCAGUUCUGUCCUAGUGGCCGACUUCCGGAUGACCCGCAUGGUCGAGCUUAGCAGUCGACCUCCUUACUGCAAGAUUCACUCCGAUCGUGGAGACAUCCAACGAAUGUUGUUAGCGUCGGACACAAAGAAGGUGCGUCAAGUACCACGCGAAUCGGUAAUUGCUUUGGAGGAAGUGUGCGGCGAAGCUAGUGAUAUCUCUGGAGAGCUGCAGGGAGGAUUGGGAUUUAUCUAUCCUGGCACAAAAUGGUGCGGACCGGGAAAUAUUGCGACCAACUAUACCGAUGUAGGACGAUAUGCCGCAGAAGAUCAAUGCUGCCGAGAGCAUGAUUUGUGUCCGAAUGUACUAUUGCCGGGUGAGUGCCGCCGUGGGCUAUGCAAUCGUGGAACCUUCACCCGGUCACACUGUGACUGCGAUGCACGGUUCAGGAGGUGUUUGCAAAAUUUAAACACGGAGACGGCCAACACACUCGGUGCUAUAUUCUUCAAUGUCGUGCAGGUGACAUGCUUCGGCGAGAGAAGACCGUGCUCGGUUUGGCAAAGUGACAGCUACACCGGCUACGACUGUCCGAUACAGUUCUACCGUUCUGGAACAUACAGCUUGCCAUAUGGAGCCACGUACAACAAACACAUUUCUCUGCGCAACUCGAGAUCAUUUGAUGUAGGAAACGGCAACGAUAUUGUCGAUGGGAAUCGGUUAAAAUUCGAUUCGUUAGGUUUAAUAUCACAGAAUUUGUUUAAAGAUUUGUUUGUACGCCCAUUAAAUGGGUACACACGUUAUUUGAUUACGGCAAAAUCGAUCGUCUAUGGUUGAACGUUAAAAACUUGGGAUCGUACGAUCGUAAGAAUCUCAGACGGGGUUUGAACUGUCUCCAUGAAGAACAGUACAUAGAAACAUAGAAUUUUAUAUAGUAGACUGAUUAUUGAGUUGAGUAAUAAGUAUCGCUACAACAUGUGCGAAUAGUCAUAAAUACUCAAUCGUAUUCAAGUAUUCAUCAGUAAGCGCAGUAUACUUUUCUGGAAACCCCGGAUACUAGUAGUAGCUUAAAACAUUUGAAUAUUGGUGUGUGAAAAGCACACAACAAAACGAAAAAAAACUGUGUACCAUGCGGAUAAUCAACUGCUCACAGUUUAAUUUGCAUCAAAAGAGCCAUGUGAAAAAGAACGUAGAAAAUCUAAUGUCAGAAAAAUGAAAGCCGUUGUAGCGGAAGAGUGUAACGCCUUGGCACGACGGAAACGGCAUCGUGCACUACCAAAAGUAGAGCUCAUGGACAAUGAGUGGGCUUCAAUCAGUCGGAAGCGGACGAGCUUUGCUCGAGAUGGAAGUAUCGGCCGAGCGAAAAGUACAUCCCGAUUAUGCAGCAGAAGUCCAACAAGUAGUC